UCCCUACUCAGACUCCAUCGCCGCCGCACCCCCGCUUCUCAGACUCCAUCUCCGCCGCACCCCCGCUGCUCAGACUUCGUCAGAUUUCUCGUUGCAAUUCUAUCACCAUACCUCCAUCAACUUCAUUGCUCACAACAGAGCUUGGUCAAAAGAGGUUUUCGCCCAUAGCAGCACACACGGUCACUACUUUCGCAAUCGCUCAUCGUCGCUCCUCGCUGUUUGCUUGUUUUCCGUUGCCGUCAAUGUCGUUGCUGUUUCUCGUGGCCUGUGUCUUAUCUGCUACAGGUUGAAGAAGAGAGUGAAACGGCGGUGAGCUUCAGAGCAUUAGCACAAGCUGGCGCAAAUUUGAUUGUUAGGAAGAUGUUGUUAAGCCUUUACUUGAAGUUACAAGGACAACUCUACUUCAUGAUUGCACUCUAUUAUGUGCUUGGAGGUCAGAAGCAGAGUCAGCUAAAGAAGAUAAUGGAGUUGAGGGUUUUAAAAACUGGUGCUUCUGUGAGGUUGAAUCUGCUUUCUGUAGCCCUAAUUUGUAGAGAUAAUUGAUUGGAGACCUUUAGGAGUUGGUUGACAUAAUGUUCAUGUGUGUUGGUGAUAUAUGAUAACCAUAUCUAGUUAAUGCUCUAUCACUCAAAGAUGCUGGUAGGGGAAGGAAAAUCUGACGAAGCCAGGAAAGUAACAAAAAUGGUGAUGCACACAUUAGAGUGCAUGGCAAAGGGGGGUAUUCGUGAUCAUGUAGGAGGUGGUUUUCACAGAUAUAGUGGCGAUGAAUGCUGGCAUGUGCCACAUUUUGAGAAAAUGUUGUAUGACCAAGGGCAGCUCGUUAAUGCAUAUCUUAAUGCUUUCUGCAUCACAAAAGAUGUAUUCUAUUCCAGUGUAUGCCGUGAUAUUCUUGAUUACUUGAGGAGAGACAUGAUUGGUCCAACUGGUGAAAUAUUUUCAGUUGAGGAUGCAGAUAGUUUAGAAUCUGAAGAUGCAUCUAGGAAAAAGGAGGGUGCUUUCUAUGUCUGGAGUAGCUCUGAGGUUUGAACUAAUUUCUGCUGCAAUUCAAAUUAUAGCAUUCAAUGGCAGUUCAAGAAACAUCUUUUCCUCACCAUUAAAAGCAUGCAUGCAUCUAAUAAGGUCUCCAAAACUAAUUAAUAGUUGGGACGAAUAUUUUAUCUUUGCAUCAAAAACUGAUUGGUGAAGGUUCACUUCGUCAUCUAUCAUCAAUCAGGUUGGAGAGUUUGCUUGAGUCCAAGUCUGGAUCUCAAGAAUUUUGUGAGGGUAUAAUCACUGAAAGACUACCUUCUGGAGUCUUUGCAGAUUUAUUUGAGCUGCAACAUUUGGUGUAGUGCGGUGUUUUUACUGAAGCUGGUGUAUUUGGAGACAAUUUUAGAAUUGCCUUCAUUUCGGUCAAAUCAGUCACUGAUUGAGGUUCACUUGGAAAUAAGCUUUAAAUUAUUUUCAAGGCACAAAGAUGAAGUAGAAUUGAAAAUUGAGCUUCCACUACAGGCACGUUAUCAGGUUGCUUAGGAGAUUGAAUUAGAAGUUAAAUUCCAGAAUUUCAGAUUGACUUGUUAUAAAUUUUGAACUGUAUAUUCAUGAAUGAAUUCUAUUCAAGUGUAUGACAUGUGUAUAUAUUUUUCAACAAAUAUCCUACGAAUUUGCUACUA